rnacentral:rRNA from 1 species
AACGAACGCUGGCGGCAUGCCUACCCAAUGCAAGUGAAACGGGACCUUCGGGUUUGGGGGCCCCGGGGUGGUUAACGGGUGGGAACUGGCCCUUGGGUUGGGAUAACCUCCCGGAAGGGGGGGUUAUUACGGAUAAAUUUCUCGGACCCAAAAAUUUAUCGCCUUUGGAUGGGCCCGCGUUGGAUUAGCUGGUUGGUAGGGUAAAGGCCUACCAAGGCGACGAUCCAUAGCUGGUCUGAGAGGAUGAUCAGCCACACUGGGACUGAGACACGGCCCAGACUCCUACGGGAGGCAGCAGUGGGGAAUAUUGGACAAUGGGCGAAAGCCUGAUCCAGCAAUGCCGCGUGAGUGAUGAAGGCCUUAGGGUUGUAAAGCUCCUUUACCCGGGAUGAUAAUGACAGUACCGGGAGAAUAAGCUCCGGCUAACUCCGUG